GGAAGUAAUAUAUCAGUAUCUGCAAAUUCCGGACACGUUCUAAUGAAGCCAAAGGGGAUAAAGAUUAAAAUAUCUCACUGUUGUUAUCUCUUUGAUGAUGGAUCCCUCUCGUCGAUGAAUGAAGUUUUUGGUUCGUGUAGAAGAUUUUGUGGGAAAUGGAUCCCACAAAACCAAGUUUUAUGAUUUAACAAGUUUGGUGGAAUUAUUUUUUGGCGUUGGACAUAUAAAUAUAAGACACAGAAGAGACGCAAGAGAGCUACACCCACUCGCAGUUUUUUACUCGUAAUAUCUUGUGGGAAAUGGAUCCAAAGACAUGAGAAGUUGACCCUAGUAAUGGCUGGGAAUGCAAGAUUUGAAUUGACCUCGGCCAGUCCCGGACUCUGGUUUUGCUGGUAACUUCCAAAAUGGGCAAAGGGGUUAUUCUGCCUCCUCUUUGGAUAGGUCGACGACAAGUUUCAGAGAUGAAAUCGAGGGAAGAAACUUUUCUUCUGGGAAGGCGAAUUCUAGAGGGAGUGCUACAAACAUCUUCAGGAGAUGCAACUACAUUAUCUCAAUGUCUGAUGUUGGAUCCAUUUGUUAUUGAUAAAAAAACAUGCACAAUUUAGUGAUAUAAGGAGUGUUCUCGGAUAUUGUUUGCAGUAGUUCAGAAGAUAAACCCUUUUGGUACCGCUCA